AUACGGAGGGUGCAAGCGUUAUCCGGAAUCAUUGGGUUUAAAGGGUCCGUAGGCGGACUAUUAAGUCAGAGGUGAAAUCCCACAGCUCAACUGUGGAACUGCCUUUGAUACUGGUAGUCUUGAGUUAUAUGGAAGUAGAUAGAAUGUGUAGUGUAGCGGUGACAUGCAUAGAUAUUACACAGAAUACCGAUUGCGAAGGCAGUCUACUACGUAUAUACUGACGCUAAGGGACGAAAGCGUGGGGAGCGAACAGGAUUAGAAACCCUAGUAGUCC
rnacentral:rRNA from 1 species